CGCUGGCGGCAUGCCUUACACAUGCAAGUCGAACGGCAGCGCGGGGGCAACCCUGGCGGCGAGCGGCGAACGGGUGAGUAAUACAUCGGAACGUGUCCAGUAGCGGGGGAUAACCUGUCGAAAGAUAGGCUAAUACCGCAUACGAUCUACGGAUGAAAGCGGGGGACCGCAAGGCCUCGCACUAUUGGAGCGGCCGAUGUCGGAUUAGCUAGUUGGCGGGGUAAAAGCCCACCAAGGCGACGAUCCGUAGCUGGUCUGAGUGGACGACCAGCCACACUGGAACUGAGACACGGUCCAGACUCCUACGGGAGGCAGCAGUGGGGAAUUUUGGACAAUGGGGGCAACCCUGAUCCAGCCAUGCCGCGUGAGUGAAGAAGGCCUUCGGGUUGUAAAGCUCUUUCGGCGGGGACGAAACGGUCCGUGACAACACCACGGACUAAUGACGGUACUCGCAGAAGAAGCACCGGCUAACUACGUGCCAGCAGCCGCGGUAAUACGUAGGGUGCAGGCGUUAAUCGGAAUUACUGGGCGUAAAGCGUGCGCAGGCGGCUCCUUAAGUCAGAUGUGAAAUCCCCGGGCUUAACCUGGGAACUGCGUUUGAAACUGGGGAGCUAGAGUGUGGAAGAGGGGGGUGGAAUUCCAGGUGUAGCAGUGAAAUGCGUAGAGAUCUGGAGGAACACCGAUGGCGAAGGCAGCCCCCUGGG
rnacentral:rRNA from 1 species